rnacentral:rRNA from 1 species
GAUGAACGCUGGCGGCGUGCUUAACACAUGCAAGUCGAACGGAGAGCUCAUGACAGAGGAUUCGUCCAAUGAAUUGAGUUUCUUAGUGGCGGACGGGUGAGUAACGCGUGAGGAACCUGCCUCAAAGAGGGGGACAACAGUUGGAAACGACUGCUAAUACCGCAUAAGCCCACAGCUCGGCAUCGAGCAGAGGGAAAAGGAGUGAUCCGCUUUGAGAUGGCCUCGCGUCCGAUUAGCUAGUUGGUGAGGUAACGGCCCACCAAGGCAACGAUCGGUAGCCGGACUGAGAGGUUGAACGGCCACAUUGGGACUGAGACACGGCCCAG